AUGGACUACACGUAUUUGACUCAAACACUUAACUCUCCGCAUACACCAAGUCUUAUAGAUCUAUACACUCAUUCAACAAACUUCACCAUAGCGUCCUUUGCCAUCUUGAAAUCACCAUUUUGCUUGAAAACACAUGCAUGGUUAGACUCGGGUCUUCUCUUGUUUGCUCACUCGCAUGAGCCGGUUGCCAAGCUCUUGAUUGAUAAUAUAUCACCACACCUGGCUUCUCCUCAACUCUCAACGAUGGUUGCUCGCACCUUGUACAGGUUGUUCUUGGUCCUCUUUCCCAUCCACAAGCUUCUUGUCCUUCUUGAUCCUCAUGGUCUUCUUGUCCCUGUCCACCUUUGGACAUAA
rnacentral:rRNA from 1 species